UCAAAAUUCAAACUGAGAGCCCUUUUCAUUAUCGUUCUCUCUCUCUCCCUCUGGAAACCCAAAUCUUUGAAACCCUAGCCAUUUCAAAAAUUCAAACCUGCUGCUUCACUUCCUUUUCAAAAAAUGGUGGUAAGUGAGUAUGAGGAUGAGCUCGGUAAGACGACGCGACGGUGGUGUGUUGAGGACCUAACCAUCGCCUCCAACAAUGGCGGCUAGGGUUUCUUACAGAGCUGACGUUUAAUUUUCGGCGAGUUUUGGUAAAUCGGCAACCAUACAUACGAUAUCAGGUGAGUUUUGGUUUCGAUCGUUUAAUUUCCGGCCAUAUGAGUUUUGCUUUACGACUUUGCUUUUUGUUAUAAGCAAGUGUACGUCUCUUCUCUAGCCUUUCUCAAGAUGCUUAAACACAACAGGUUUGAGGGGUACACCAAAAAGAAGCUCAUUGUUAUCAAGAACCAGUUGGUAGUGCAUAUGGGAAGGAAAUCGAUAUUUGGAGUGCAGGGGUAAUGUUGUAUAUUCUAUUAAGCGGUGUACCCCCAUGUAGGGAUUGGAUGUUAGUUUGAAUUUGGGUUCCUCUUCGUUGGCUGAUGGUUCGAAAUGGAGGGAUUGGAUCGUGGCGGUCAUUGUAAACAGCCGAAAGUUAAUUCCUUGGCAAUGUUAUCAGCACACGGAGAGUAAAAAAACAAUGUUGACUUUCUAUCUCUGUCACAUACCCGAAGUGGGCAAGAUAUUCGAGAAGCUCGUGAAUAUCUUUCUAAACUAAGUGACCUCAGUCAAACUCAAAUUUUUGCAAAGAUUGAAAAUGUAGAGGGCCUCGUGAAUUUUGAUGAAAUUCUACAGGAAGCUGAUGGCAUUAUCCUUGCUAGAGGGAAUUUACGG